GACGGAAGGUGCAAGCGUUGCUCGGAAUCACUGGGCGUAAAGGGUGCGUAGGCGGCUGUGUAAGUCUGGCGUGAAAGCCCAGGGCUCAGCCCUGGAAGUGCGCUAGAAACUGCGCGGCUGGAGUGCCGGAGGGGAGAGUGGAAUUCCUGGUGUAGCGGUGAAAUGCGUAGAUAUCAGGAGGAACACCGAUGGCGAAGGCAGGUCUCUGGGCAUUAACUGACGCUGAGGAGCGAAAGCAUGGGGAGCGAACAGG
rnacentral:rRNA from 1 species